AUCCUUCUGUAGUUUAUAAGCAUGAUGAAUUGAGUGUUCACCCACGUGUGUGAGAUGUGCUGGCCUUAAACUUUGUUAUGGCAUCACACAUUGCCCGUCUGAAA
ensembl:snoRNA